GUUUAUAGAAACUGAAAGACCCCUGAAGGGAGACCCUCACUCAAAUCUCGGGAAUAGCGCACACCCAGUGAGGCACCGAGACCG
rnacentral:pre_miRNA from 11 species